UUUUAACAUACAAUUGGCCAGAAUAAUACAAACUACGUUUAAAAUUCAAAGAACUUGGCGGUGUCUUACCGAUACAGGGGAACCUGUCCCUUAAUUCGAUAAUCCACGAAACUCUUACCUUUUCUAGAAGCCUGUGUACUGCCGUCGCCAGCUCACCUCUAAAAGCGUGUGCAAAACAUAUAUAUAUAUUACACGUCAGGUCAAAGUGCAGCCAAUGAAAAGGAGUCGAUGGGUUACAAUCCAAAUACUGACACGGAGUCUAUAUACAUAGAUGAAGGUGGACUUGUUAGUAAUAUUAUACAAUUAUGAAAAUGAAUCUAAGACAUGCACACAUCGCCCGUCACUCUCGCUAAAAAGUG
rnacentral:rRNA from 1 species